GCGGGGUUGGUGUAGUUGGUUAUCACGUCAGUCUAACAGAGAGUUUCUGAGUAGUCCGAAGCCUUGAAGAGCACUGAAGGUCGCGAGUUCAAGUCUCGCAUCCCGUA